rnacentral:rRNA from 1 species
GGGAAUCUUCGGCAAUGGGCGAAAGCCUGACCGAGCAACGCCGCGUGAAUGAAGAAGGCCUUCGGGUUGUAAAAUUCUGUUAUAAGGGAAGAAAGGUGAUAGGAGGAAAUGACUAUCAAUUGACGGUACCUUAUGAGAAAGCCACGGCUAACUACGUGCCAGCAGCCGCGGUAAUACGUAGGUGGCAAGCGUUAUCCGGAUUCAUUGGGUUUAAAGGGUGCGCAGGCGGGCCUUUAAGCCGGCGGUGAAAUCGCGGGGCUCAACCCCGCCGAGCCGUCGGAACUGGGGGCCUUGAGUGCGGCGGAGGCAUGCGGAAUGCGCGGUGUAGCGGUGAAAUGCAUAGAUAUCGCGCAGAACCCCGAUUGCGAAGGCAGCGUGCCGUGCCGCCACUGACGCUGAGGCACGAAAGCGCGGGGAUCGAACAGG